UGGGGAAUCUUAGACAAUGGGGGCAACCCUGAUCUAGCCAUGCCGCGUGAGUGAUGAAGGCCUUAGGGUUGUAAAGCUCUUUCAGCUGGGAAGAUAAUGACGGUACCAGCAGAAGAAGCCCCGGCUAACUCCGUGCCAGCAGCCGCGGUAAUACGGAGGGGGCUAGCGUUGUUCGGAAUUACUGGGCGUAAAGCGCACGUAGGCGGACUGGAAAGUUGGGGGUGAAAUCCCGGGGCUCAACCUCGGAACUGCCUUCAAAACUAUCAGCCUGGAGUUCGAGAGAGGUGAGUGGAAUUCCGAGUGUAGAGGUGAAAUUCGUAGAUAUUCGGAGGAACACCAGUGGCGAAGGCGGCUCACUGGCUCGAUACUGACGCUGAGGUGCGAAAGCGUGGGGAGCAAACA
rnacentral:rRNA from 1 species